GAAAAUGCUGCCUGCGAGAUUGGGCCGGCCCACAAAAAAUAUCAUUCUCCUCUUCCCCACCAACCCUAAAUCCUUCUCGUCUCCCCCGAUUCUCCUGCCGCCACCGACGACCUCUGCCGUCCUUGCGUCACACCCCGAGCCCCUCCUCGCCUCUUCCCAUCCGCUCCUCUGCCCUGUGCCGCCGGCUUCCCUCUUGGCCACUCGACCCGGCCAACAUGGCGGGCAGCAAGAUCUGGGCCGACGCGCCUCAUCGUCGCCUUCGUCUUCCAUUGUGCGCCUCAACACCGGCUACAGGGACAAGGACCUCACCGACUCGCGCACAAUAGGUGGGCGGCCGGCAGUGGAGGUGCAGCAGCGGCCAACGGCGGUGGACCAGAUCGGCGCUUCACGGUGGCAGACAUGACGGCUGUCACUUGCAGAGCAGAGCGACGCCGACCCGCCGGCCGCUUGACGAGCUGACCGGUAGCUUCAGGUCGACAGAGGCCAUGGUGCGGGAGUGGAUGUCAAAGCAUCCCACCCACAUCGAGGCCGCCGUCACCAUGGCGUUUUGGCUGUGCACGGCGGCGCUCAGUGGGCUAAUCAGCACGUUUGCGCCGGAAGGAGGGGCUGGCCUCCCGGUGCUGCAGCCGCCUCCCGGUCUCGACCCCAAAGCCAGGGCCACCUUCAAGCAAGCAACUUAUAUAUUGCGUUUGUCCCCUUCGUCGCCGGCAAGGUCCGGCAGCUCGCUCAUGGGUGGCUCUGCCUCACAGACGGUCCUCCCGUGCCUGAUGGCCAUGAGGUGCAUGUUGUGCGUCGGGCCGUACCUCGUCUGCAUCGAUUUGGUGCAGUAGCCACCUGUCUCCAUCGACGAGGAGGGCGACCGGAACCCAAGUGCAAGCGGGCGAGCUGGGGGAGGACAUUGUCGUGAGCUUUACCUUGACUACCCCCCGCACAAGGUAAACCACAACAGUGGUACUACCUCAAAAGAAUCCUGCUGGGAGAUCAAAGGAAUAGGCACUUCUGCUCCUUUUUAUCUGCUGAUGCAAUCUUGAAUGUAAUGGUCAAGGUAGUUAGUGUCCUUUUCGAAAAAAAAAGGUAGUUAGUGUGGGAAUCACUUCCAGGUUGUCUCAUGUUAUCGCUUACAUCACAAGUGUGUCCAAUUUUGCAUAUGGUUAUAGUUACACCUUCAGUUUUGAUUUCAGAGUCCGAGGAUGGUUGCAAUCCUGUCAAAUGUUGCACAUGGUUGUUAUAAUUAUGCCUGUAUGCAUCAGUGACUGCUUGCACCGAUCCGACGGCGGCCAUGGCGGAGCUCCGCCCGGGCAACAUGGGGUGUCCGUCCGAGGUCAUGAUGGUCGAUGUGUACUCUACGCUGUAGCGCACCAGCGCGGGAGCUCUUGGAGCGUGCCAUCGGCGAGAUGCACGUUGAUGCAUACGGAUCUGGACCAAGAAGAGGAUCAGGAGGACUAAUACAAUGGACACUACUACUCUGCAAGAUACAGUUCAAACCCUGUAUCCUCCUGAUUGAUCUCCCUUCGCCCUGUUUAAGAAUCAUGUUUCACCUAUUCAGCAAGAAAGGCAGCAGUGGAUAGAAGGAUGCCGCCACCAAGAGGAGCGAGGUUGCGUCGAUGGACUCAGGAAACGCUGGCGAUAUGAGAUGUCUUGAUCUCCAACAGUAAACAAUAUGUACCGAGUGAUGUCAUGUCAUUGAUACUGUCAAACAUGCUUUUGGUGGUUCACCGCAGAUCAUCUACGAGAAGGGCUCAGUUCAGGAACUAUGGUUAUGCUUCACCAAGGAUUUGAAGGGUUGUGGGAAAUAGGAGCUCAGCUGCUAGGCCAUUCUAUUGGUGUACCAAUUCUGGAUUAUUCAUUAUGUUCUCUUUAUUGCUAAUGAUAAACGUCCUUCCAGUAUGACAACCUUAAAUUUUGGUGAUUUUUUGGUAUUUCAUUGCAGGAGACACCAAAUGUAGAGUCGCCAUAUCUAACUUUUACUUUGACAUGGCUGGGUGUUCGUCUUCUACAUAUCUGGUUUAUGCUCUAUUGUCUACUUACCAACAAGAAGAUAAGUUGAAUGCUUCACCUUGGCAAAGUCGUGCAGCUGUCAACGUUUUGGUUCUUCCGGAUCUUAAAUUGUUAAAUGGUUCUGUUGUGAUAUACUAUACUUAUUCAGACAGGGGGCACUUAUUUAUCUUCCAGCAGGUUAAUAAAAUUUUAUUUAGAAGGCCUCUUA